ACCUUAUCAGCUGCCACAGAGAGGGAAGAUGCAGAGAGGCCUGCUGAAAGCCAUGCUGGAAAUUACAAUGGGGAAGAAGGUCCAUCAACCUCCACAGCACAGCUUACCUCACUCCCUGUGAAACAACUUUACAAGGUAUAUUUAGAAUCUCAAAUAAACAAAUCACACCUAGAAAUGGAGCACAUAAGGCUGCAGAUCACCAAAACAGAAAAGGAAAUACAACUGCUGGACCAUCAGUUAAAGGUGGGUGACGUGCCCA